GACGAACGCUGGCGGCGUGCCUAAUACAUGCAAGUAGAACGCAGUUGCGAACGGGUGAGUAACGCGUAGGUAACUGCCUCAUAGCGGGGGAUCACUCUUGGAAACGAUAGCUAAUACCGCAUACUGUGAGAUGGACCUGCGUUGUAUUAGCUAGUUGGUGAGGUAAAGGCUCACCAAGGCGACGAUACAUAGCCGACCUGAGAGGGUGAUCGGCACAACUGGGACUAGGACAAGGCCAAGACUAAGUAGGGAGGCAGCAGUAGGGAGUAUUGGGCAAUGUACGGAAAUCUGACCGAGCAACGCCGCGGGAGGAAAGAAGGUUUUCGGAUAGUAAAGCUCUGUUGUAAGAGAAGCGGUAACUAACCAGAAAGGGACGGCUAACAACGUGCCAGCAGCAGCGGUAAUUG
rnacentral:rRNA from 1 species